ACGAACACAGAAAUUGCAAAACCAAACACAAAGUCAAAAAAAAAAAAAAAAAACCCUAUAAUUUACCGGUAUUUUGAAAAAGAGCCCAAGAUCUGCAAAAUCAAUUUCACCUACGACCCCCAGAUCCCUGACCCCAAUGGCGAAGCUGGAAGCGCUGGACGAACCCAAGGACGAGAAGGCCACCGCCACCAACAAGAAGAACAAGUACAAGAAGAGGAAUCACGGGUCAACGAAUCUCUUCGUCGUCGUUGAUUACCUUUUCCUCCUCAUAUUCUUUGGGUUCCUCUGCUUCAUUCUCUGCGAGAUCGUUGGCAUUUGAUUCCUAAAGACGACCCAUAUUUCUUUUAGCCAGUUCUUUUGCUGGGAAUUUGUGUGACAUAUCUUGGCUGCAAUGUUCGAAACAGUUCCAAGCUGGAAGGCACUUGCCGGAGUUGGCUUGGUCAGAUUCAGAUCAUGUGAUUUUAGAGUUGUAAUGUAUUUCUUGAUUUUGAGGAAUCAUGUGCCUUUGUUAUAAAAGAAAUUUUGAUACUAUAUUUUUUGUCUUCUAGUCUCUUUCCUAUUGGCUUUUCUUCAUGUAUUGUGUGAUGGAUAGAAUCUUUUGUGGAAUUAAUGAAUGAUGUUAUCUGAGAUCUGUUUUCGCUAUUAACUUCUA